AUUGAACGCUGGCGGCAUGCUUUACACAUGCAAGUCGAACGGUAACAGGCCUUCGGGUGCUGUCGAGUGGUGAACGGGUGCGUAAUGCAUCGGAACGUACCCAGAGGUGGGGGAUAACGCAGCGAAAGCUGUGCUAAUACCGCAUGUGAUCUGAGGUUGAAAGCGGGGGACCGCGCAGCAAUGUUUGGCCUUGCGCCUUUCGAGCGGCCGAUGUCGGAUUAGCUAGUUGGUGGGGUAAAGGCCUACCAAGGCGACGAUCCGUAGCUGGUCUGAGAGGACGACCAGCCACACUGGGACUGAGACACGGCCCAGACUCCUACGGGAGGCAGCAGUGGGGAAUCUUGGACAAUGGGCGCAAGCCUGAUCGAGCAAUGCCGCGUGAGGGAAGAAGGCCUUCGGGUUGUAAACCGCUGUUGGCAGGAACGAAACGGUGUCCGCUAAUACCGGGCGAUAAUGACGGUACCUGCAGAGUAAGCACCGGCUAACUACGUG
rnacentral:rRNA from 1 species